AUGGGUUCGCCGGUUCCCUUUCCACGGGAGCAGCAGCAGCUGGUGUUGUACCUGUACGCGGCCGUCGCGUGGUGCACCGUGCGGGCGCUGGAGUGGGCGUGGUGGAGGCCCCGGCGCCUGGACCGGGCGCUGCGGUCGCAGGGUCUCCGCGGCACGGCGUACCGCCCGGUGGCCGGCGACGUGCCACUGAGCCAGCGGCUCAACAGGGAGGCGAGGUCCCGGACCAUGCCGCUGGGCUGCCAAGACGUCGUGCCGCGGGCGAUGCCGCUCCUCCAUCAGGCCGCGAACGAGCACGGUACGUACUACUCCCUUCGUUCGGAAUUACUUGUCGAAAAAAUGGAUGUAUCUAGUUGUAUUUUAAUUCUAAAUACAUCUAUUUUCAAAACAAGUAAUUUUGAGUACUUUACCUUCGAAAUUUUUGUGAUCUUAUGA
rnacentral:rRNA from 1 species